CUGCAGUGAUUACAGCUUAGGACACCUUUGGAUCAACCAUGAAAACAAACUCUACUCUGAGCAGC